rnacentral:rRNA from 1 species
UACGAAGGGGGCUAGCGUUGUUCGGAUUUACUGGGCGUAAAGCGCACGUAGGCGGAUCUUUAAGUCAGAGGUGAAAUCCCAAGGCUCAACCUUGGAACUGCCUUUGAUACUGGGGAUCUUGAGUCCGGGAGAGGUGAGUGGAACUGCGAGUGUAGAGGUGAAAUUCGUAGAUAUUCGGAAGAACACCAGUGGCGAAGGCGACACACUGGCCCAUUACUGACGCUGAGGCUCGAAAGCGUGGGGAGCAAACAGG